GGUUGUAGCUCAGUGGUAGAGCACUUGCCUGGCAUGUGUGAGGCACUGGGUUCAAUUCUCAGCACCG
rnacentral:tRNA from 1 species